CCUCAUCUCUCUCAUCUCUAACCUAGAGACUCUCAGGCCACCGCCCUCCGCUGCCUGCCGCUCGCUGGAAAUCUCCUACGGUAGCGGCCGACAUUCGAUGACACCCAAAUUUACACCACAGUCUCCCCUCUUCCAAAUACACCUUUAGUUUCCUUCAAAUCCUUGCCGAAUCUAUUGAAUAUCAAAUCAAAGUCUCGACCCCCAAAACCCUAACUCGAUGGACAACACUCAAAUCCGCACCAGGGCUUCGUCUUUGUCAACUCAUCGUCAAUCCACUUUUAUUUUCUCUCAAAAUCCACUGAAACGCCCCCAAAUACCCUAACCAUAGCCGCUGCAUUUAGCUUCCGGUGGCGGCGCCUCCACCAAAACACAACCAAACAUACACCCUAGAUUUACCUUGACCCUCUAUUCCCCUAUCCCGAACAAAUUCCUCUCAAAUCCAGCCAGAAUCUUUUGAAUCUCGAAGUUUAG
rnacentral:lncRNA from 1 species